rnacentral:rRNA from 1 species
UACAGAGGGUGCGAGCGUUGUCCGGAAUCACUGGGCGUAAAGGGCGCGUAGGUGGCCUGGUAAGUAGGGGGUGAAAUCUCGCGGCUCAACUGCGAGGCUGCCUCCUAAACUGUCAGGCUCGAGCAGAGUAGAGGCAGGGAAUUCCCGGUGUAGCGGUGGAAUGCGUAGAGAUCGGGAAGAACAUCGGUGGCGAAGGCGGCCUGCUGGGCUCUUGCUGACACUGAGGCGCGACAGCGUGGGGAGCAAACAGG